UACGUAGGGGGCAAGCGUUGUCCGGAUUCAUUGGGCGGAAAGAGCGUGUAGGCGGCCAGGUAGGUCGGUUGUGAAAACUGGAGGCUCAACCUUCAGACGUCGACCGAAACCAUCUGGCUAGAGUCCGGGAGAGGAGAGUGGAAUUCCUGGUGUAGCGGUGAAAUGCGCAGAUAUCAGGAAGAACACCCGUGGCGAAAGCGGCUCUCUGGAACGGUACUGACGCUGAGACGCGAAAGCGUGGGGAGCGAACAGG
rnacentral:rRNA from 1 species